AUCAGUUCUGGCUCAAUCAUCAUGGGAUAGGAGCUCUGACACCUCAUAAAUCAGUCGAAAGGAAAGUAUGACGUGUUAGUAAUAGUAGUAGUAUGUGUGUCGGUGAGUGUCAAGGUGGUUCCAGAGGCCAUGUGGGCAUCCCAUCCUCUUUCCGGAUGCAGUGGAUCAUGGAUAUGACCAGAAUUUUGGAAUGGAAACUGGAUCUGGCUCCUCUGGGUGGGCAAAACCACCUGGUAACUGAUUUCUACUAGCUCGGAAGCCUUCAUUGCAUCAAUUGGAAGACGAUCUCGAGCACUGAGGAACUGUCUGCUUGAGUGCUUUUCCAUUGAAAUUCCCUUUUGAUUUUCACUUAAUUCCAUUUGCGAACUGGUUUGUGGCGCCCGAGCAGGUACAACAAUGGAUAUGACAACAAUUAGUUGAUGCCACAUGUCGCCUGGCUCUUUGUUCGCCGCCUUUUUGCAAAAUAGAUAUUGCAAAAUGCCCAAAAGCACUUGUUUUUUGCUUUGUUUGGAUGUGUUCUCUACGACGGCUUUUGUUUGGAUUUUUAUGAUGUCUAAAACUGUCGGCGCGGCUACUGGAUCAACAACGCCGCUACACGAGCCAACCAAAGGGUCAUAAAGAGUUGAACAAACGGACGAGGCCCUCAACUCAACUGGGCGACUUUCGGCGCAAAACAUAUAGACUGGAAAUACACAUGCACAUAUGUAUAUUGCACAUGCACUUGCACAUCUAGAGUUAUUUGCAUGCUGGUGACCCCGAGCAGGCAAAAAAAAAAAAAUGUAUUUAUAAGUCUUCCCGCUUGCAUGUACUAUUUGUUUGCUAAAUACUGGCAAUAAGGUGGGCAACAAAAAUUGCGUGGGGGAAAGGAGAGAUCGACGACGGUGCUAGAGAAAGUGUCAGAUUGGUGACCCCGAACUGCCUGAAAAUGCUUACGUGGCAGGUUUUUAUAAGAUUUCCCUGUCUCGUUAUUUGUUAUUUGUUUGCUAAGUGCACAGGAAGAAAAAACAUUAUUGACUACUCAAUUUUCGCAUGCUGUUCCAAAUAAAUUAUCACGCUUGAAUCAACAUUUAACAUAUUUAUUUAGAGCUAAAGUGGGGUAGGUAACUUAAGCUAACACGGAGUUUUUGACUUGCUCUAACUUACGUAUAACAUAUUAAUAUAAAUAAAUCCUAUUUAAUAAUUGAA
rnacentral:sRNA from 13 species